GCUCGUAGGCGGUUCGUCGCGUCCGGUGUGAAAGUCCAUCGCUUAACGGUGGAUCCGCGCCGGGUACGGGCGGGCUUGAGUGCGGUAGGGGAGACUGGAAUUCCCGGUGUAACGGUGGAAUGUGUAGAUAUCGGGAAGAACACCAAUGGCGAAGGCAGGUCUCUGGGCCGUCACUGACGCUGAGGAGCGAAAGCGUGGGGAGCGAACA
rnacentral:rRNA from 1 species